rnacentral:rRNA from 1 species
GGCGCACCAGUCGCGAAUAGUCUACAAUGGACGAAAGUCUGAUAGUGCGACGCCGUGUGUGCGAUUAAUUCCUUCGGGAUGUAAAGCACUUUUCUAUGAGAUAAAAGCUCUUUAGGUUAAUAGCUUAUUGAGACGGAUAUUAUUAUAGGAAUAAGCUCCGGCUAACUCCGUGCCAGCAGCCGCGGUAAUACGGAAGGAGCGAGCGUUGUCCGGAUUUACUAGGCGUAAAGGGCUAGUAGGCGACUAAUUAAGUUAUAUGUUAAAUCCCACGGCUCAACUGUGGUCCUGCAUGUAAUACUGGUUAGAUAGAGUACUGUAGAGGAAGGCAGAAUUCCUGGAGUAGCGGUGGAAUGCGCAGAUAUCAGGAAGAAUACCAAAAGCGAAGGCAGCCUUCUGGGCAGUUACUGACGCUGAAUAGCGAAGGUGUGGGUAGCGAACAGGAUUAGA